rnacentral:rRNA from 1 species
AGAGUUUGAUCCUGGCUCAGGAUGAACGCUGGCGGCGUGCUUAACACAUUCAAGUCGAACGAAGAAGAUCGGAGCUUGCUCCGAUCGGAUUAGUGGCGGACGGGUGAGUAACGCGUGAGUAACCUGCCUGCGAGAGGGGGAUAACAACGGGAAACUGUUGCUAAUACCGCAUAACGCAUCGAUUCCGCAUGGAGAUGAUGCCAAAGGGAAACCGCUUGCAGAUGGACUCGCGUCUGAUUAGGUAGUUGGUGAGGUAACGGCUCACCAAGCCGACGAUCAGUAGCCGGACUGAGAGGUUGAACGGCCACAUUGGAACUGAGAUACGGUCCAGACUCCUACGGGAGGCAGCAGUGGGGAAUAUUGGGCAAUGGGCGAAAGCCUGACCCAGCAACGCCGCGUGAAGGAAGAAGGUCUUCGGAUUGUAAACUUUUGUCUUAUGGGACGAUAAUGACGGUACCAUAGGAGGAAGCCACGACUAACUACGUGCCAGCAGUCGCGGUAAUACGUAGGUGGCGAGCGUUAUCCGGAAUUAUUGGGUGUAAAGGGUGCGUAGGCGGGUCGUAAAGUCAGAUGUGAAAUGCGGAGGCUCAACCUCCGAACUGCAUUUGAAACUUACGAUCUUGAGUGGAGUAGAGGCAAGCGGAAUUCCCGGUGUAGCGGUGAAAUGCAUAGAUAUCGGGAGGAACACCAGUGGCGAAGGCGGCUUGCUGGGCUUUUACUGACGCUGAGGCACGAAAGUGUGGGGAGCAAACAGGAUUAGAUACCCUGGUAGUCCACACCGUAAACGAUGAUUACUAGGUGUUGGAGGAUUGACCCCUUCAGUGCCGCAGUUAACACAAUAAGUAAUCCACCUGGGGAGUACGACCGCAAGGUUGAAACUCAAAGGAAUUGACGGGGGCC